GAUGAAGAACGUAGCGAAAUGCGAUAAGUAGUGUGAAUUGCAGAAUUCAGUGAAUCAUCGAAUCUUUGAACGCACAUUGCGCCCCUCGGUAUUCCGUGGGGCAUGCCUGUUCGAGCGUCAUUUACACCCUCAAGCUCUGCUUGGUGUUGGGCGCCUGUCCCGCUCCCGCAGCGCGGACUCGCCCUAAAGUCAUUGGCGGCGGUCGUGCCGGCCCCUUGCGCAGCACAAAUGCGCUUCUCGGAGGCCCGGCGGAUCAGCGCUCCAGCAAGACACCUUCAUGACUUGACCUCGGAUCAGGUAGGGAUACCCGCUGAACUUAAGCAUAUCAAUAAGCGGAGGA
rnacentral:misc_RNA from 1 species